UACGGAGGGGGCUAGCGUUGUCCGGAUUUACUGGGCGUAAAGCGUGCGCAGGCGGUUUUGUAAGUCUGUUGUGAAAGCCCCGGGCUCAACCUGGGAAUUGCGAUGGAGACUGCAAGGCUUGAAUCUGGCAGAGGGGGGUAGAAUUCCACGUGUAGCAGUGAAAUGCGUAGAGAUGUGGAGGAACACCGAUGGCGAAGGCAGCCCCCUGGGUCAAGAUUGACGCUCAUGCACGAAAGCGUGGGGAGCAAACAGG
rnacentral:rRNA from 1 species